rnacentral:rRNA from 1 species
UACAGAGGGUGCGAGCGUUAAUCGGAAUUACUGGGCGUAAAGCGCACGUAGGCGGUCAGGCAAGUCGGGUGUGAAAGCCCUGGGCUCAACCUGGGAAUUGCAUUCGAAACUAUCUGACUCGAGUAUGGGAGAGGGAAGCGGAAUUUCCGGUGUAGCGGUGAAAUGCGUAGAUAUCGGAAGGAACACCAGUGGCGAAGGCGGCUUCCUGGACUAAUACUGACGCUGAGGUGCGAAAGCGUGGGGAGCAAACAGG